GAUGAACGCUGGCGGCGUGCCUAAUACAUGCAAGUCGAGCGAACGGACGAGAAGCUUGCUUCUCUGAUGUUAGCGGCGGACGGGUGAGUAACACGUGGGUAACCUACCUAUAAGACUGGGAUAACUUCGGGAAACCGGAGCUAAUACCGGAUAAUAUUUUGAACCGCAUGGUUCAAAAGUGAAAGACGGUCUUGCUGUAACUUAUAGAUGGAUCAGCGCUGCAUUAGCUAGUUGGUAAGGUAACGGCUUACCAAGGCAACGAUGCAUAGCCGACCUGAGAGGGUGAUCGGCCACACUGGAACUGAGACACGGUCCAGACUCCUACGGGAGGCAGCAGUAGGGAAUCUUCCGCAAUGGGCGAAAGCCUGACGGAGCAACGCCGCGUGAGUGAUGAAGGUCUUCGGAUCGGAAAACUCUGUUAUUAGGGAAGAACAUAUGUGUAAGUAACUGUGCACAUCUUGACGGUACCUAAUCAGAAAGCCACGGCUAACUACGUG
rnacentral:rRNA from 1 species